rnacentral:rRNA from 1 species
CACGUAGGGGCCAAGCGUUGUCCGGAUUCAUUGGGCGUAAAGAGCUCGUAGGCGGUUCAGUUAGUCGGGUGUGAAAUCUCCGGGCUCAACCCGGAGGGGCCACCCGAUACUGCUGUGACUUGAGUCCGGUAGGGGAGUGGGGAAUUCCUGGUGUAGCGGUGAAAUGCGCAGAUAUCAGGAGGAACACCGGUGGCGAAGGCGCCACUCUGGGCCGGUACUGACGCUGAGACGCGAAAGCGUGGGGAGCAAAAGGG